rnacentral:tRNA from 1 species
CCCGGCUUAGCUCAGCCUGGUGGAGCAGGGGACUGUAGAUCCCAAGGUCGCUGGUUCAAAUCCGGCAGCCGGGA